CUUAAUCAUAGGGAUCCUUGUAUGACUUUGUAGAAGUGUAAUAUUGACUGUCAUCUCCUCUUCAAGCGUACACUUACACUAUAAAAGGGAUGAUUGUAAUGAGAAAUAUAAGAAAUACAGUAACAACCAUUGGCUUCUCUUUAUUUUUCUCUGCAUUAUGAUGAUACCAUGUUUUAACAGAUAGAAUUUAUGGAUGUAAGCAGAUUAUAACGGCCUGCAUCUAAUAAUUAUACCAUCCCUUAUAUGUAUUUAGUUUUAUAGCGAACUGUUACGAGUUAUCUGAUUGUGUUAUGGUUUGUUGUUGACAGCAUGGAGGUGAUACUAAUGCACGUAAUCGUAUUGGAGAAACAGCUUUGCAUUGGAGUGCAGUGAGGGGUCAAUUGAGGUUGCUGAACUUCUGCUGCAGGUAGGGAUGUCAAUCGGGCUAGCCCACCGGGUUUUCGGGCUAGCCCUAUCGGGUUCCGGGUUAGUGGGUGCGGGCUAAUGGGUUGGAGAUUUUUUCGGGUUGUAAAUCUUCAACCCUAACCCUAAACUUUCGGGUUUCGGGCUAGCCCAUCGGGCUAAUCAGGUUAAAGGCGUAAAAAUAAAAUUAUCAUUUGUAUUUUAUUAAUCCUAAUAUCUAAUGUAUAAUAUAUAAAAUAUACAUAGAUAUUAAAGAUAUAAAUUAUAUAGCAAAGCAUGAAAUGCAAAAAUAUAAGAUAUUCAAGAUUACAUAAACAAAAUUAUAUUAAAAUGAGAUAGUAAAAUUUAACAUGUAUCAAUGCACUAGAAUCAAUCUGGAUUAUUACUGAAUAAUUAGUGGAUUUGCCAUGCACGUCUCAUUGACAAGAAAAAAAAAAAUGGUAUCACUUUAAAAUGAGAUACUAAUAAUUAAUUUCUAACUAAUGAGAUACUAAUAAUCAAUUUCUACAAAAAAAUCCGUAAUUAAUUUCACUUUUUUUAAUGAGAUUGCACACACACACACACACAUAUAUAUUCUAACUAAUUAAUUUCACUUUUUUUAAUGAGGCUACGUAUAUAUAUUUAAGCAAAUACCAUAGAUCUAAACAUAGCAGAAGUUGUAACUUGAUGCAUCAGUCACAAUUCCGUCAGCCCACCGGGCCAGCCCAUCGGGUUUUCGGGCUAGCCUAUCGGGUUCCGGGUUAGUCGGGUGCGGGCUAAUCGGGCUGGAGGUUUUUUCGGGUUGCGAUUUUUCAACCCUAACCCUCUAAUUUUAUCGGGUUAUUCGGGUCGGCCCACGGGUUUCGGGUUGCAUUGACAUCCCUAGCUGCAGGAGGGUGCUUGUAUCAGUGCAGCUGAUUGUCUAGGUUAUCAGGUUUGUUUUACAUUCUUCUGUUACUAGUUGAAAAUAAUUGAUCUGAGUUUUAGACGAACUAUGCAAAAGAUUAAUUUGUUAGAUCACCAUCAUAGUCUUGAUAUAGUUCCACAAAUAUGGCAUUUUGUUGCAAAGUUAUUUGGUGUUUCAGACAGGGGUCAAUAGAUGUCUGAUGGCGACAAUGACAUUUUUUGCCACUAUUUCUCACGAAUCUUGAAUCGACAAACUAUAUUUUGGGGUUUGUGAUUGACAUUUAUUUUAUUGCUCUGGAAGUAGAUACUAAAUUACCUCAAUGUUCCAUUUCCAUUAUAGACUUUCUUCGAUUAUACUAUAGGUUUUAGGUGAGGAAGUAUUAGUUUUGUAUGGAAGCAAGGUUGAUGUUUCAAUUUUAUGAUCUAUUGGAUAUGUUUUCUGGGGACCAUUAUCAUUUAUGUUGGUAUUAGUAGUUUGGAUUCUCUUAAUAAUUAUAGAUAUGUGCUCCCUGUUCUAGUAUUUUGAUUUGGUCUCCCUUUUCACUUGUGGUCAAGAUAUUUAUCACUUGGUCAUUGCAAGUUUGGCAUAUCUGCUACUUUUAUUCUUCUUUAAUGUUCUUUUCAAAAAUCAAUUCUAUCAUUUACUUCCUUAUAUACCUGGGCCAUGUUCGUGGUGACUUUUGAUAGAACACAUGCAUUGUAGUUUUGUUGUAGUGUAAGAGAAACUUUAACACUCAGUUAAAUUGUGUUGAGUGUUAAACGAAGUAAAAGUAGCUCUCCAACUGUUUGCUAAAUAUAUGCACGAAGCAACAUAAAAGAAUCCAAAUUUUAUAGACCAAAUAUCUGCUUACACUGCAACUGGCAAAGGUAUUUCUUUCUUUCUCUGAUUUUCUUAGAAAACUUUGUAUUGAAAUGCAAUUAUUAUUUUAAGUUUAAGUUCAUAAGGGAACUAUCCUAUGUUCUGUCUUAGUUGAGGGCUUGCAGCUGCUGUCUUUGGCAUGUUAUUUCUCUUUCUUUCUUGUUAGACUUCUAAAGUGGCUUUAAUUUGCUAAAUUUAGUUUGUUAAUUUCAUUGAUGACUGAUCAUGACUGUAGGGCUGCUUACAAGGGAUUUCCUGAUUGCUAUUUGCCUUCUGCUAUAUCUGAAUGCUCAUAGAACGCGACAAGAUAAAGAAGGUUAGUUGGAAUGCUCCACGCUACAUGUAUAAUCGUGUUUCAUAUUUGUUUUUACUGUGUCAAAAAUGUGUCCAGUUAGCUACUUCAGUAAGCAUCUGAUGUCGUUUUUUUUUUUUUUCUAGGUUGUACCCCGCUGCACUGGGCUGCCAGUAAGGGUAAGUUAUAAGCAUGCAAUCUCCUGGUGAUGGCAAGGAAGAAAAAAGAUUUGAUGGUAACAGAAUGUACCGGCUGUACACCUGCACAACUUGCUAACUUCUAUUUCCCUGUGUUAUUGUUCUUAAUAUGAGACAAUUCAGUAGAAGUGUUGGAAUAAAUAUCUUAUUUAAUGUCAUAAUUACUUUGGUAAUUAAUGGAAUUAAAUGAUAUUUUUGAAUCUACAUGUUGAGUAGAUUAAAUUGGUAUAUUUACUUAUUUAAAUCUAUAAAGAAUUGAAUGAGUAAUUAAUGCCAAAAAUGUGGCGACGGUUUAGGACUGAAGAGACACGAUGGUUCGGACAUAUUUAUCCAAACAGUGCGCGUGGCAGCGGUUAAGGACCGAAGAGACACGAUGGUUCGAACCACAUGUUUACCCAAACAAUACACCUCUUCCGACAGAAGAGAACAUCUCUUCAAACAAAGAAGGGUGCACCUCUUCGGAUUGGAAAGUCACGUCCGUUCAAGGAAACCCCUGGAACACUAUAAAUAGGGCCCUCCAUAAUGAGAUUAAAUACACCAACGAAUUCAGAUAAUCAAUUUGUCAUAUUAGUUUAGUUUACAUACUCAGUCCCGAGUAUCAAGCUGUUCGACCGGAUAGCGAUCUCCUAGUGCUAAGGACUCGUCUAUCAUCCCAAAACCGUUGUAUCUUGGGGGCAAUUACUGUAGAUCCGCAAGCACAAGAGCGGAAGUAAUUUUGCCUUACGAAGAGAGAAUUUAUUCUCGCCUCGGUUCUGCAUCUUUUCCAUUUAUCGUCAUUCUAUUUUCUACACUACCAAAUAACAAGAAGAACAGUUAAAAACCAUAAAUUUGAGAUGUAUAUGGUAGUAUGAUACAUGAGAUAAAGAUAUGAGCCAUCAUCUAUUUUUAUCUCUUUGGGUAUUCUUACACACACAAAGUUGUUUAACUAGUUAAAAACCAAAAUGGAGAAUUGAGAGCCCUGAACAACAUUUGACUCACGUUGGCACAUUGAAACAUUUUUUAUCCUCUUGCUUGCAAACAAACAUGCCCAAUAUGGAUUACUCCAAGUCAGCUCGCUUCUUGGAGCUGUAAUGCAUCCUCAAGUCUUUCCACUAUAUCUGUCAUUGAUGGCCGGUCUCUUCCAUAAUCCAGUAGACAUCUUCCAGCAGUUUCCAAGAAUAUAUUUAGGCUAUCUCGUGGUGUUCUCCCAACUAGAAAGGGGUCAAUACAACCAGAAAAGUGUUGAGAAUAAGAAGUCAGUAAAAGCAGCAAACAAUAAAAGUUAGUCAAAAGAUAAAGUUAGUCAAAAGAUAACCAAGGAUCCCUUAAUCAUAGGGAUCCUUAUGACUUUGUAUCAGCAAUAUUGAAUAUCAUCUCCCAUCAAACACUAUAAAUGGGAGAAGUGUAUCAGUAGGAAAUAACAAGCAAUACAAUAACAAUCAUUUGCUUCUCUUUAUCUUUCUCUAUGCAUUAUGAUAAUACCAUGUUUUAACAUGGUAUCAGAGCAAGUUCAAUCCUAGGAACUCAGAAACAAAUCAUCAUCGUUCAUAAUCCCAAACCAAAACCUUUCUUAGCCAAUUCACCAAAUCAAGGCAGCCUCUGUUCUUCAUUUCCUGAAAAAAAAAAAAAUGCCAGGAGAGAUUGAAACCAUAAACCAAACAGAUUCAAAUAACCCAAAUCCAAACAGAAUCCACAGAAUGGGUCGAAGAGACCCAAAUCCAAUCAACUGCAAUGAAGAAGGGAUUAAUAAGCACCGAAAAUUAAUCGGAAAUUGCCGAUUAUUUCAGUUCCUCCCUGGAUUAGAUGGCAGAUAUGAUAAACUUUGUCGGGACAUUCUCAAGAAAGUUCCCGUUACCUCAGUCGAGUCGGCGUUCUCAAAAGUGAAAAGGGAGGCCGCCCGACUACAAAACUUGCAGCCGGCAACCAAUCGCUCCGACAUCGACGCCUCAUCAUCGGGAGGGGUCGGAGCCGGACUCGCCGCCACCCACCGCCCUACUCAGCGGCCUGAGGUCCAACCGCCACACACCGCCGCCGGUCCAGGCAACACACCGGAGUGGUGGGAAAACAAUCACAAAAUUGCCAAAGGGAAGAAAGC
rnacentral:lncRNA from 1 species